UUCAGUGGGCAGGGGAGUCAUGAGGAUAUUGGGAAAUGCAGAUUUUAAUUCAGGAAGUCUGGGUUGGGGCCUGAGAGUCUAGAUUUCUGACAAACUCCAGGUGCUGCUGAUGUUGCUGGAUGGGAGACCACACUUUUGAGUAGCAAAGGGUGCAGAACAGCCCAUGAGAUAUGGACGUCACUACUCAGUGACUUAUUCAAGUAGUUGUUGAGUGAAUAAGUGAAAGGACAAAAAUGAGAAAGUCCUCCUUUUCAGACCUGAGACCUAGUUGAAGGGUUCAAAUGUUGCCUGUGAAAGACUUAAGCAACAGCUGGAGGCAAUAUAAAGUUAUAAAAAGUCACGGAGCUCUGAGGAGGAUGAACUUCGAGUGGACAGGAGUGAUCAAGGACUUUCUGGAAGUCACAUGGCAGUUGGCCUAUGACAGAUAAAAAGGACAGGACCAGGCAGGGAGGUGAGACCACGGCAAGUCCAAGGAGAGGAAGGGCAUUCACCAGCAGGUAAUGAGGAGACUGAGGGGCUGCAGCUGAGCACUCAUGAGGAAAAAGAAAGCUCUCAAAAAACCGACUUUGUUCAACAUGGAGUCUAAGAGAGAAGACUAUGAUUUACAAAGGUGGGGAGUAAGAGCCUGGGUGAGAUGACAUGGAAGCCUGAGGCCAGAGACGCAGCACUAGAAGAUAUGCAGGACAGUGAAAUCUGGUGGUUUAUGGUCACCGUUCUCCAAGAGUCUUUUCUCACAUGGCGUUAGAGAUUAAAGACCAAGGGAUACCAGCUGUGGAGCCAGCCAUGCUACACGUUUGCACCUUCUGGUCUACUCUAAGUAUUGCAUUUCCCACGUUCACUCCUGAAGGUAGUGAGACAGACCUGCAGUUCCCUCCAUUUGUAGCAGCUCUGACACUAUCAUGAGAAUCACCAGUGAUAUUCUGUAAAUGCCAGCCAAAAUCUAUCUGCAAGAACAUCUGCUCAACAGUGCAAAACUGAUGUAAUUACCAACCAUCAUCUUUUCUCCUCCUGCUGGGGUAACUGCUCCAAAGCAUGACUUUUUGCCCUGAGCUAACAAGAUCCAGAAACUCCCUGUUAUGUACAAAACCUGCUGCUGAAAACCCAUGUAGCUUCAACACAAAUUAUAACCCAGUCUCUCAACUACAAGAGAAACUAACACCCUUGUGCCAUAGGGUCUCGGAGAAUCUUGCUCAAAACCUUGUGAGUCCCAGACUUCAUCCUCCUCCCGCUACCUGUUUUUGUCUAAUAUAAACGGUCUUCAAAAGAAUAUGAUACAGAAAGGGAAGAUACAUCUAUCAUUCCAAUAACACUGUUUUCAAAGUACAAUUACUGAAAAGAAUAAUUAAAUGUCAAAUGUCUGAAUGGGAACUGAGGCGGAAAGAGAAAUGGAAAAAAAAAAUCUUUAUUGAGCAUCUGCUAUUUGCCAAGAGCUGUCCUGGACGCUUUGCGUAUGUUAUCUCAUUUAAUUGUGGUUUUACACAUUCUGAAAAUCAAGAAAUUCCCAUUUUGAAUCCAUUAAGUUGAGGACAGGCACUGAGGCUUCCCCAUCUGCCUCCUAAGGAUGUGGAGAAGUGUAACCAAUGACAAUGCGAAAAAAAGAAUUCUAAGUACUUAUUUUAAAUUAUGUUAAGGGAAUACGGGUGAAAGACCAUGUGAUUCAGAGCAUGACACUAACAAACUAUGGAGCAUCUGACAAGUUUCUUUUUUUUUUUUUCUUUUUUUUUUUUUUGAGACAGAGUCUUGCUCCAUCACCAGGCCGGAGUGUAGUGGUGCGAUCUCGGCUCACUGCAGCCUCUACUUCCUGGGUUCAAGCAAUUCUCCUGCCUCAGCCUCCCAAGUAGCUGGGACUACAGGCACGUACCACCACACCCAGCUAAUUUUUGUAUUUUUAGUAGAGACAGGGUUUCACCAUGUUGGUCAGGCUGGUCUCGAUCUCACGACCUUGUGAUCUGCCCACCUCGGCCUCCCAAAGUGCUGUGAUUACAGGCGUGAGCCACUGCGCCCAGCCACGUCUGAGAAGUUUCUUAAUGUGAGUCUCAGUUUCCACAACUACAACAUGAGGGAGUUGAAAUAGAUAAUUACUAACAUCUCUACCUGGUCUGAAAUGUCAUAAUUCAUUGAUUCUACAAAUCAAAUUUUAUUUCAAAACAUUUUUUGAAUUACAUACUAAUUUCUCUCAUUUUUGGUUCCUCUUAAAUUUAUGAUGAGGCUGAGAACAAACUAGAAGUGGGAAUUAGUCAUGAGACACUAACAAAUAGUUUUGUUGGCUUGUGUGAUGUUUUUAGUUUGGAUUUUUUGUUUUGUUUUGUUUUUGUUUUGAGAUGGAGUCUCGCUCUGUCGCCCAGGCUGGAGUGCAGUGGCACGAUCUCAGCUCACUGCAACCUCCACCUCCCAGGUUCCAGCGAUUCUCCUGCCUCAGCCUCCUGAGUAGCUGGGACUACAGGCACGUGCCACAACACCCGGCUAAUUUUUUGUAUUUUUAGUAGAGAUGGGGUUUCACCGUGUUAGCCAGGAUAGUCUCAAUCUCCUGACCUCGUGAUCUGCCCACCUCGGCCUCCCAAAGUGCUGGGAUUACAGGCGUGAGCCACCAUGCCCUGCCUGUUUGCGUUUUUAGGGGAAAAAAUUGGCACCAAACACAGAUAUUCAAUCAGGCUGAACCAAGAUAAUAAAGAGUAUUCUUAAUUCCAAGUAGAAUCAUGGCCAUUGUGCACAUAAAAUUUUUUGUAGUUAGGGAAUAAAACUACCAGAAAUACAGCCGCUGUCUGAUCUUCUUUGGGGAAAUUUUGUUUCUACUUUGUCAUAUGACAAUAAUGUUGGAGCUUGUGUGUGUGUGUUUGUUAUACAGAGGUAUUUGGUAUUAAUGGAUGGAACAUUGCCUUUUAAUCACAACUCAUCAUGAAAGAAAUCUCUGUCACUCUGCUUGGAUGUAUAAAGCCACUUUCUAGCUCAUAACACAUAAAAUCUCUAGAAAUCAAUGAACAAAUUCAUGAAAGAUUUGCCAAGUUUACCUUUUGUGUCCCAGCACUUUCUCAGGCACUUAAAUGAUCAGCGAGAAAUCUAAAAGUAAUGCAAAUAGCUUGACC
rnacentral:lncRNA from 10 species